CCUACGGGAUGCAGCAGUGAGGAAUAUUGGUCAAUGGACGAGAGUCUGAACCAGCCAAGUAGCGUGAAGGAUGACUGCCCUAUGGGUUGUAAACUUCUUUUAUAUGGGAAUAAAAUGUUCCACGUGUGGGCUUUUGUAUGUACCAUAUGAAUAAGGAUCGGCUAACUCCGUGCCAGCAGCCGCGGUAAUACGGAGGAUCCGAGCGUUAUCCGGAUUUAUUGGGUUUAAAGGGAGCGUAGGUGGAUUGUUAAGUCAGUUGUGAAAGUUUGCGGCUCAACCGUAAAAUUGCAGUUGAAACUGGCAGUCUUGAGUACAGUAGAGGUGGGCGGAAUUCGUGGUGUAGCGGUGAAAUGCUUAGAUAUCACGAAGAACUCCGAUUGCGAAGGCAGCUCACUGGACUGCAACUGACACUGAGGCUCGAAAGUGUGGGUAUCAAACAGGAUUAGAGACCCCUGUAGUC
rnacentral:rRNA from 1 species